rnacentral:rRNA from 1 species
UACGUAGGGUGCGAGCGUUGUCCGGAUUUAUUGGGCGUAAAGGGCUCGUAGGCGGCCUGUCGCGUCGGGAGUGAAAGCCCACUGCUUAACGGUGGGUCUGCUUCCGGUACGGGCGGGCUGGAGUUCGGCAGGGGAGACUGGAAUUCCUGGUGUAGCGGUGAAAUGCGCAGAUAUCAGGAGGAACACCGGUGGCGAAGGCGGGUCUCUGGGCCGAUACUGACGCUGAGGAGCGAAAGCGUGGGGAGCGAACAGG